rfam:Angiostrongylus costaricensis strain Costa Rica genome assembly, scaffold: ACOC_scaffold0000674
CCAACGGCCCUCUUUAGGGCCACACUUGAAAUCGAAUGCGUGGCCU